UCGCUCAGGUUUCACCGCAAGGACGAACAUGCGUUUCGCCUUUUACUAAACGCAUCCGUGCGGAGGAACACCUACAAUGAGCCUAACGGCAAUUUUUGCAGCUCCGUAAGGAGC